GGAGGUUCCAGGCUGCCAGCACCAGAGGACACUUCCAUAAAGCCAGCGGAAGCAGCCACCGCCCUAUUCCCGGCCCAUUCUGGGGUUCCACUAGUUUGCAAGAAUCCUCUAUUUUGUGGCACACUGUAUGUCAGUGGACAUGGACACUGAUACUCUUAAGGCAGUAUGGAACCUCCCUCACUGUCCGCAGAGCCAUCGCACACGCAAGGUCCAUCCUUAGCCCUGCUCAGCAGUUCUUUGGAUGGCAGCUCCGAUCUUCCUUGGAAGCUUGUUGUUUUCUUUUAUAAUCCCUGUCUCUCAUUUUCCUUCAUGUAAACAUGUGUGUGUGUGUGUCUGCUGGGAAUAGAACUGAGAGCUUUGCACAUGCUAGGCAAGUGUUCAGUCAGGGUUUUAGUUGUUGUUGUUAUUCUUGUUGUUUUGUUUUGUCAGCUUUGCAGGAGGAAUCUGGGAAGAGGAAACCUCAGUUGAGCAAAUGCCCCCAUCAGGCUGGCCUGUAGGGGACUUCAUGAAUUUUCAUGAAUGAUGUUUGGUGGGAAAGAGCCCAUUCUACUAU
rnacentral:lncRNA from 1 species